UACAGAGGCCUCGAGCGUUAGGCGGAAUUACUGGGCGUAAAGCGCACGUAGGCGGCUUUGUAAGUUAGAGGUGAAAGCCCGGGGCUCAACCCCGGAAUUGCCUUUAAGACUGCAUCGCUUGAAUCCGGGAGAGGUUAGCGGAACUCCGAGUGUAGAGGUGAAAUUCGUAGAUAUUCGGAAGAACACCAGUGGCGAAGGCGGCUAACUGGCCCAUUACUGACGCUGAGGCUCGAAAGCGUGGGGAGC
rnacentral:rRNA from 1 species